rnacentral:rRNA from 1 species
UGAGGAAUAUUGCGCAAUGGGGGCAACCCUGACGCAGCAACGCCGCGUGAGUGAGGAAGGUUUUCGGACCGUAAAGCUCUGUCGAGUGGGAAGAAAUGCAUGGUGGCUAAUAUCCAUCAUGCUUGACGGUACCGCUAAAGGAAGCACCGGCUAACUCCGUGCCAGCAGCCGCGGUAAUACGGGGGGUGCUAGCGUUGUUCGGAAUCAUUGGGCGUAAAGAGCGUGUAGGCGGCUGGAUAAGUCAGAUGUGAAAGCCCUGGGCUUAACCCAGGAAGUGCAUUUGAAACUGUUCAGCUAGAGUAAGGGAGAGGAAAGUGGAAUUCCUGGUGUAGAGGUGAAAUUCGUAGAUAUCAGGAGGAACACCGGUGGCGAAGGCGACUUUCUGGCCCUAUACUGACGCUGAGACGCGAGAGCGUGGGUAGCAAACA